rnacentral:rRNA from 1 species
GCCAGCAGCCAUAUCACUCUGCAACUCACUGCUGCUAAGCAGGUGUGAGCCUGGUCAGUACCUGGAUGGGAGACCUCCUGGGAAAAACUAAGGUUGCUGCUGGAA